GUAAUUCUUAUUAAUUUGGAACCACUAAAUAUAUCAAUAUGAGGAUAGGAGUUGUCCUAUCUAUAACAUUUCCAGAACAUUUGGCGAGCUUUGCCUAGGAGGGAAUUUAAAGGUGACCCUGAGAACCCGAAACGAGGAGCUUGAGACGAUCCGGGAAUUUCUGAUGAUCAGCCGGCUGAGGCUAUAUGGUGUAGAGAAAAUCGGUACACUGCCAAAAGAGGACAAGGAAACACCCACAAAAUGACCUCAGAGUAACACCCCAAGUUAUUUUCUAGGAGGCAUGGGACACUCCUCCGUGGGCUAUGCAUGGAGCUCCUUCCUCCUAGUGCCCAACAUUGAGAACAAUCGCAUCACUUCCUGACUGCAGAGGAGAAACCAAUUACUGAUUGCAGAGGAUUGUGGCACACAUAGUCCGGUCACCUGGAUUUAUAUUAGACCUCAUACUGUUAAAAACUGCAAGUUCUAGUGUGCUGAGAAUUCUGAGGAACUCUGGGUGAGCAGAUACAUUGUCUCGCUCUCUUGGUACCCAGGAUUCAGAGCUGCAAGAGUGAGAGGUUGUCACUAUGGGUGCUGUUUGGCAGGCCUAGGCAGAGCUGGGAACCUCUCAUCCUGACAGCCGCAUUGUUGGGUGCAGGGCUGUUGUCCCUGUUACGGCAUUGCUGAUCGCGUCUAUAUCUACAUUACACCCACGCAUUUAUCGCUGGACUUUUGGUUUUACAGGUUGCCAGUUGGGCACCUCACACCUGGUUGCAAACAUUUAAGAGCCUUUGCAGGGACAUACUGUCUCCAAGAACCCGUGUAUCUGCAGGAUUAAUGAGCAGGCGGAAGCCCAUCUUAUCUCGGACACGUCACUUAAAGACACUGCCUUUAUACCAUUACCCCCCCAGGCCAAGGGUGGCAGUAGCAAAGUCAGGGUGUAUUGGGUGUCCCCCUCG